rnacentral:rRNA from 1 species
CCCUUAGAUGUCCUGGGCUGCACGCGCGCUACACUGAUGUGUCCAGUAAGCACCUAACCUCUUCCGAAAGGAACGGGUAACCUUUGCAAAGCACAUCGUGAUGGGGAUAGAUUAUUGCAAUUAUUAGUCUUGAACGAGGAAUUCCUGGUAAGCACAAGUCAUCAGCUUGUGUUGAUUACGUCCCUGCCCUUUGUACACACCGCCCGUCGCUCCUACCGAUUGAAUGUUCCGGUGAGCUCUUCGGACUGCGCGGUCUGCAGUUUCUGCGUUCCGUGCGGAAAGUUGCGCAAACCUUAACAUUUAGAGGAAGGAGAAGUCGUAACA